AAGGGAAAGAUGAAAGAACUAUAUCAAGCACUAAACAGCAAGGACAAGCCCUUAUACUUUCUGCAUACUGUAUUAACUAGAAAUACUUUACGCAGAGAACUAUAGCCAAGUCCCCCAAAACCAGAUGAGCUACCCAAGAAUAGCUGAAAGAGCACACUCACCUACAUGGCAAAAUAGUGGGAAGAUUCAUGAGUAGCAGUGACAAGCCUACCGAUAGCUGGUUGUCCAAAAUAGAAUCUUAGUUCAACUUUAAACUUACCCACAGAAUUACUUAAUUUCCCAGUAAGUUUAACUGUCAGUCUAAAGAGGGACAGCUCUUUAGACCCUAGGAAACAACCUUCCUACAGAGAGUAAAAAAUAUUACCACCAUAGUUGGCCCAAAAGCAACCACCAAUUAAGAAAGCAUUUGAGCUCAACAUCUAACUAUCUUAAAUUCUAAUCACUCUACUAUACUCCUAACAUCACAUUGGACUAAUCUAUUACUUAAUAGAAGCAAUAAUGUUAAUAUAAGUAACAUGAAGACAUUCUCCAUUGCAUAAGCUUACAUCAGACCAGAAUAACCCACUGGCAGUUAACAGCCUAAUAUUAAUAAACGAUAUAAUAAGUACCCUAUUAUUUACACUGUUAACUCAACAAAGGCAUGCUCUAAAGGAAAGUUUACAAAAAGUAAAAGGAACUCAGCAAAUCUUACCCUGCCUGUUUACCAAAAACAUCACCUCUAGCAUUACCAGUAUUAGAGGCACUGCCUGCCCAGUGACACAUGUUCAACUGCCACGGUGUCCUGACCGUGCAAAGGUAGCAUAAUCACUUGUUCCCUAAAUAGGGACUUGUACGAAUUGCUACACGAGGGUUCAGCUGUCUCUUACUUUUAAUCAGUGAAAUUGACCUAUCAGUGAAGAGGUGGAUAUAAAAAAAAUAAGACGAGAAGACCCUAUGGAGCUUUCAUUCAUUAAUACAAAUAAAAACUCAAACAAGCCAACAGGCCCUAGCCUACUAUCCCUGCAUUAAAAAUGUUGUUUGGGGUGACCCCGGAGCAUACUUCAACCUCCGAACAAUGUAAACUAAGACUGCACUAGUCUAAGCGAGUUAACAUACGUUGACUCAAUUAAUUUGAUGAACGGAAUAAGUUAUCCUAGGGAUAACAGCACAAUCCUAUUCUAGAGUCCAUAUCAACAAUAGGGUUUACGACCUCGAUGUUGGAUCAGGACAUCCUAAUGGUGUAGCUGCUAUUAAGAGUUCGUUUGUUCAGUGAUUAAAGUCCUACCUGAUCUGAGGUCAGACUGGAGUAAUCCAGGUUGGUUUCUAUCUAUUUAACAUUUCUCCUAG
rnacentral:rRNA from 1 species